rnacentral:lncRNA from 1 species
CUCACCCUCUUGCUAUUGCCUAUUGCUCCUCCUCCUCCUUGACAAAUUACGAUACAGAAAGUUCAGGAAGAAGGAUUUCUAUUUUUUCUCAUUUUCAUUCUUUGCUGCAAAAAGGGUCAGUUCAAUUUCCUUUUUCCAUCUCAUAUAUCAACUUCUCAGUCCCUUGUUUACAAGUUAUUAUUUGUUUGUUGUUUAUGGAAUGACAUAAAUUGUUCAAUUCGUUUGUAUUAUUUAAAUUUCUCAUUUAGUUCAUAGAACUGAAUUCUGAAUAUGAAAGCUAAAUUCAAUACUCUGAUCCAAAUCCGCUUCAUUUUCUGCGGUUCUGGAAAUACCUACAAUCCCCUUUCUCCCAAAACCCCAAUCUUGAACCCCUGUUUAUUUAGUACUUUGCUUAAUUCUGCAGAAACCCUAACAAAUGUUAAAGUAGAAGAAUUUGCUGCUGAAUACCAGCCGAAAGACCCCAC